AUUGAACGCUGGCGGCAGGCCUAACACAUGCAAGUCGAGCGGAUGAAGGGAGCUUGCUCCUGGAUUCAGCGGCGGACGGGUGAGUAAUGCCUAUGAAUCUGCCUGGUAGUGGGGGAUAACGUCCGGAAACGGGCGCUAAUACUGCAUACGUCCUGAGGGAGAAAGUGGGGGAUCUUCGGACCUCACGCUAUCAGAUGAGCCUAGGUCGGAUUAGCUAGUUGGUGGGGUAAAGGCCUACCAAGGCGACGAUCCGUAACUGGUCUGAGAGGAUGAUCAGUCACACUGGAACUGAGACACGGUCCAGACUCCUACGGGAGGCAGCAGUGGGGAAUAUUGGGCAAUGGGCGAAAGCCUGAUACAGCCAUGCCGCGUGUGUGAAGAAGGUCUUCGGAUUGUAAAGCACUUUAAGUUGGGAGGAAGGGCAGUAAGUUAAUACCUUGCUGUUUUGACGUUACCAACAGAAUAAGCACCGGCUAACUUCGUG
rnacentral:rRNA from 1 species